rnacentral:lncRNA from 1 species
GUCGUGUGAACGACAGCCAAUCAGCGCUGUCGCUGGGGCUGAAUCAACCAAUCAGCGGCCUCGCCGCGUAAGGGGGCGUGGCCUCGCUGCCGUGAGGGGGAGGUGGCGGCCGCCAUGUUAGAGGCAGCUGAGGGCGAGCGGGUGGGGGACGUAUGGAGGCUGUAGGGGCUCUAUAGGGGUGAUUUGGGGGGUCUGGAGGGUUCAAAAUGGGUCUGGGGACUUCUAAAAAGGGUUCUCAGGGGGGUUAGGGGGGAUUGGAAGGGGUAUAGAAUAAAAGGGGGGGUGCAUGAUGGGGUGGGGGGUAUAGGGGAUGUAUAGGGGCGGUAUAGGGAGGGUAUAGGGGAUAUUUGAGGGGGAUUCAAGGGGUUUUUGGAACGUAUGGAGGGUGUAGGGGUGGGUUCAAGGGGAGUUGGGGUGGUUUAUGGGGUGUAUGGCAUCUAUAGGGGAUCUAUAGGGGAGGUUUGGGGGGGAUAUUGGGAAUAUCCGGAGUGGUUUCUGGGGGGGGGGUUUGACGGCACCUAUGGAGGGUGCGGGGUGGGAUCUAUAGGGGGCGAUUUGGGGAAAAAAUCCGGAGUGGUUUCUGGGGAUAUCCGGAACCUAUGGGGGCUAUAGGGGAUUUUGGUGGGGGGGGGAGGAUUUGGGCCCUAUAUGGGACCUAUGGGGGUCUAUAGGGGGAGUUGGGGGUCCUAUGGGGGCUAUAGGGAACAUUUGGGAGGGUCUGGGGGUCUAUAGGGGAUUUUGGGGGGGUAUAAAACCCUAUAGGGGCUCUUUGUGGGGGUGGGGUUGGGGACCUAUGGGAUCUAUAUGGGAAUUUGGGGAGGGGUCUGGGGGGAAUGUUCGGGACCUAUGGAAUCUAUAGGGGGAGUUUGGUGAUUUUGGGGGGGGGGUUUAGAGGACAUUUGGACCCUAUAGGGGCUCUAUAGGUGCUGCUCUGGGAGGGUCUCUGUGUGUGGGGGAUUCUAUAGGGGAUCUAUAGGGGAUUCCAUGGGGGAUUCCAUGGGAUUCCGUGGGGAUCUAUAGGGGAUCUGUGGGGAUUUCAUUGCUGAUCUAUAGGGGAUUCCAUUGCUGAUCUAUAGGGGAUUCUAUAGGGGAUCCAUAGGGGUUCUGUGGGGAUUCUGUGGGUGAUCCCUU